UCCUGGUGGCUCAGAUGGUAAAGAAUCUGCCUGCAAUGCAGGAGACCCAGGUUCAAUCCCUGGGGCAGGAA
rnacentral:tRNA from 1 species